GACGAACGCUGGCGGCGUGCCUAAUACAUGCAAGUCGGACGCAAGGAAACACACUGUGCUUGUACACCGUGUGUUCUUGAGUCGCGAAUGGGUGAGUAAUGCGUAGGUCACCUGCCUGUUAGCAGGGGUUAACUAGUGGAAACGAUAGCUAUUACCGCAUGAUAUUAAUUAUUGCAUGGUGAUAGAUUGAUAUUUGCAAGCGCAUCACUAGUAGAUGGACUUGCGUUGUAUUAGCUAGUUGGUAAGGUAAGAGCUUACCAAGGCGACGAUACAUAGCCGACCUGCGAGGGGGAUCGGCCACACCGGGACUGAGACACGGCCCAGACUACUACGGGAGGCAGCAGUACGGGAUCCUCGGCAAUGGACGCAAGUCUGAACGAGCAACGACGCGUGAGUGCAGGAGGUAUUCGGAUCGUAAAGAUCUGUUGUAAGUUAAGAACGUGAGUGAGAGUGGAAAGUUCACAUAGUGACGGUAGCUUACCAGAAAGCGACGGCUAACUACGUG
rnacentral:rRNA from 1 species